rnacentral:rRNA from 1 species
AACCUUUAGCAAAACAAGUAUUAAAGGCGACACCUGCCCAGUGAAAUUUAAACGGCCGCGGUAUCCUAACCGUGCAAAGGUAGCGUAAUCACUUGUCUUAUAAAUAAAGACCCGUAUGAAUGGCUAAAUGAACAUUUAACUGUCUCCUUUAACUAAUCAGUGAAACUGAUCUUUCAGUACAAAAGCUGAAAUCAAAAUAUAAGACGAGAAGACCCUGUGGAGCUUCAAAUUUUUAACAGAACAUUUUUAAAAGUAUGCUUAUGAUAAAAAAUUUUAAGUUGGGGCGACUUUGGAGUAAAACUUAACCUCCAAGAAAGGGCAUUGCCAAAAUCAGGCUAACCCGCCAAACAUAAGAUCCAGUAUUUUAUACUGAUCAACGAACCAAGUUACCCCAGGGAUAACAGCGCUAUCUUCUUCAAGAGUUCCUAUCGACAAGAAGGUUUACGACCUCGAUGUUGGAUCAGGACACCCAAAUGGUGUAACCGCUAUUAAAGGUUCGUUUGUUCAACGAUUAAUGUCCUACGUGAUCU